CCUACGGGAGGCAGCAGUGGGGAAUCUCCCGCAAUGGACGAAAGUCUGACGGAGCAACGCCGCGUGAGUGAUGACGGCCUUCGGGUUGUAAAGCUCUGUUAAUCGGGACGAAAGGCCUUCUUGCGAAUAGUGAGAAGGAUUGACGGUACCGGAAUAGAAAGCCACGGCUAACUACGUGCCAGCAGCCGCGGUAAUACGUAGGUGGCAAGCGUUGUCCGGAAUUAUUGGGCGUAAAGCGCGCGCAGGCGGAUAGGUCAGUCUGUCUUAAAAGUUCGGGGCUUAACCCCGUGAUGGGAUGGAAACUGCCAAUCUAGAGUAUCGGAGAGGAAAGUGGAAUUCCUAGUGUAGCGGUGAAAUGCGUAGAUAUUAGGAAGAACACCAGUGGCGAAGGCGACUUUCUGGACGAAAACUGACGCUGAGGCGCGAAAGCCAGGGGAGCGAACGGGAUUAGAUACCCCGGUAGUCCUGGCCGUAAACGAUGGGUACUAGGUGUAGGAGGUAUCGACCCCUUCUGUGCCGGAGUUAACGCAAUAAGUACCCCGCCUGGGGAGUACGACCGCAAGGUUGAAACUCAAAGGAAUUGACGGCUGCUGCCUCCCGUAGG
rnacentral:rRNA from 1 species